rnacentral:lncRNA from 1 species
GUUGUUUUUUUUAUUUAAAAUUUUUAAUUCUCUAUGUACACUCCUGUUUAAGCAUAUAUUCACUGUCAAUAAUGAGAUAUUAACAAUCUUAAAUAAAAGUUAAUGAAAAUUAGCAUCUUUGUGUGAUUAACGUGUAAGUCUGUUAGUCAGUUGUGUUGUAUGUCUGUGGUGUGUGUUUGCACCGUUUUGGCUGCUGGAUUCCAAUUAUUGUUACGUUAUUCGAUUAUGUCGGUUUCGGUUAUUCGACCAAUUUUGUCAAUAUGACGGAACUAUAAACAACUGUCAUGCAAGUGGGAGGUUUAUCUAGAUAUAAAACCAGGUGCAACAUACCGCUUUCUUAUGCAAAUGUAUGUUCCAAGUCAGGAAUAUUGCAGAUGUUUUUCACUUGUUCCAUU